rnacentral:rRNA from 1 species
AUGGCUCGUCGAGCCGGGCCAGAGGAAACUGUCGCUGGUGGAGUCAGCCGCAACUCAGCCACGGUUCAGGCCGCCCCAUCUUUGUCGGAUGCGCUGAAUCACCGAGGAAGCCGCAUCGAGUUAGCACAGGCGCCUGGCGGAGGCGGCUCUGCUGUGCCGGGACGCUGCAGUCCCUUCAAUGUCGUGUGUCCGUGUCCGUCGCAGACGGCGUCCUCACUCCCGACUUCUCCCUCGACCUUGCGGCAACGACUAUACCAUGUUGUUCUCGUCGCUGGAGAUCGACUACUCAGGAGCAUGGGUAGAGGCGAUAUGGUGGUGUACUCGCAGAAAAAGAGGUAA